GCUGAAGAAAUCCACGCCCACGAUUCGCCGUCAUCCCUCCUUCAGGACCGUCAGGGUGGAGCCUGCUGGACAACGAUGGCUGACACCAGGUCUGAGGAAGUAUUCCUGUCGACUCACCGUCGACACAAACACAGUCCACAACGACAUCAAACUGUCUGAUGACAACAGGAAGAUGAUGUAUGUGGGGGAGGAUCAGUCGUAUCCUGAUCAUCCAGACAGGUUUGAUCUCU